CAAAAUAAGCUUAAAUUGAGUUAAAAUAAAUAUGAAAACAAACAUUUUACACUCUGUAUCUUUGAUUUUUCAGGUUUUUAUUCAAAACACACUGUGGAAGUUAGCAUUUACAUGUAAGUGAACCGUUAAAAAAAUGUAAACAAUGAGUCAUUCACCCCAGUCUGUGCAUGUUCUUAUUUUGUUUCCAUUUCGGGGUAUUUUAAUUGGUUAUUAUUGAAAUCGAACACAGAGAAGGCACAGUUCUUUCUUUAUUCAGACAAAAAUAAGUGAAUAAUAUUGUUUGUACUUGUUUGAGCUUGUACAAAUCAAAUUUUGACUUGUAAUAAAAUGGAUGGUGAAGGGUGGACAUUCACAUCCAAGGUAAAAAACUUUUAGCCAAUGGAUUUCUGGGCUCCUGAAAAACACUGAGACAAAAUGGCCGACAUGGAGUCGUGGUGCGCCAGAAUUAAAUGGGCGAUUGCAAAAAAGAGCAGAUUUCAGCCUUCAAAAGGAUGCCGGCUUUGGCGGGGAUGCAUAAAAAAAUCCUAUGGCAUCAUUUCAAUGAAAAUGCCAGGCUCGAACAAACGCACUCUGAAGUCUGUGCACAGGGCGGCUUACAUGGCACACACCGGAAAUGUAAAUUUGCCACGGGAGUGGGAUGUAAGUCACCUGUGCCAGAAUUCAUUGUGCGUUUGUUUCGAGCAUUUGUCCCUUGAACCUAGGGCUGUAAAUAAUAGCAGAAAAGUCUGCAAACGACUCAAGCAGUGCCAAGGGCACGAUGGGUACCGGGAGUGCCUGCUUUAAGCAAGGGCUUUUGCAGCUGGGGAGCCUGCAGUUACUGGGCAACCAGCAGCUGCGCACUUUUUGACUAUUGAAUUGGCGUGUCUGUUAUUCACCAAGUGCACUGCGCUAUGGUCUCGACAAGAACCAUUUCUUGAGAAGGUUAGUGUGGCCUUAGGGUUGGUUACUGCAAAGGCAUGGUUCAUUGAUUCUGCUUUUUGAGUACUGGUGCCAUAUUUAGUUUUUUCAAGGGCUUCUUGGCCAAGUCGUUUGCCUAGGAGUUUGAUGAGAGUCUGUUCAUCACAAGUUGCUAAUUUCAGUUUGCCACGGGCAUCGACUGGCAGGUAUGGAAACCGAUAUUUACCACCCAUACAAAUUUGGGACCACUUUUUGCAAAGGCCGUGAUUCCCCAUGUAACAUUGAACAAUGGCACUUGCUGCAUUUCUAGCCAUGGUCGUCAUUUGGGAAGAGUUCCCACCGCUUUUUUUCAGUAUAGCAGCAGCCUCGGCCUGUGCCCUGUGGCUGACGUCAUCGGCAAAUCGAUCUUGAAUGUUUUUCUUUGCUCUUUUAUUUUUGCCUGGAAACAUCUCUUUACUGAAUUUUGCACGACUUAUGGCCGCACAGAGUGAUCGGUUUAAAUGAGGCGGAUCUAACGAAUGUUCAGUUUCCAUACCUGCCACCUUACUUUGCAUAUAUGAUCUCAUACCCCGUGCCAGACAACCGUCGGCAUCUGUUGUCACCCUAUUUACAAACAAAGGUUCUUUACAGUUUAAAAGUUUUUGGGCGCACUGAAUGCCCCCGUUGCGCUCAUCUCCCAUAUUGAAGUUCGGUGGACGAGUGGCCGUGCAUUUCCCUGCGUGCUUGUGAUCCCUCGCUCCGUCAAUGUCACAUUUUUUGCAAAGUUUGUUCUCCUGGUGGUACAUGACAACAUACUUGCUGGUUGUCACAUUUUCAACGACAACAUCUCUUGUCUGGGUGGCUGCGACGAAGGGUGUUUUCUUGCGACAGUUUCGAAGGGGAUUAUUAUAUUGUCUGUCAGUUUCCACUGCAAUUGCGCUGUGUCUCUCGUAACCCUGCAGUUCAUGAAUGUCUUUCACGAUUUUUCUCUUGUUGCACAUGUCCGUUUCAUUUUCUGUGGUGAUAAUUUCACCACAUUUGUUUGAUGUACUUUGCAG
rnacentral:misc_RNA from 1 species